rnacentral:rRNA from 1 species
GAUGAACGCUAGCGGCAGGCCUAAUACAUGCAAGUCGAACGGCCCCGACACUUCGGUGUCGGGGUAGUGGCGCACGGGUGCGUAACGCGUACACAACAUACCCUUUACAGGGGGAUAGCGGCGGGAAACUGCCAGUAAUACCCCAUGUCCUUGCGAGGUGGCAUCAUUUUGCAAAGAAAGUUCAAGCGGUAAAGGAUUGGUGUGCGUCCGAUUAGCUAGUUGGCGGGGUAACGGCCCACCAAGGCGACGAUCGGUAGGGGGUGUGAGAGCAUGGCCCCCCCACACGGGUACGUGAGACACGGACCCGACUCCUACGGGAGGGCAGCAGUAAGGAA